ensembl:lncRNA
UGCUUAGUUUGGCUGGGUGGCCAUGUUCUAGCAAAAGUCUCUGGUUCUGAACUUGUUCUUUUCGGCAUUUUGGUACCUUCCUCAGACCUGUGCGGCAACGCAAUCUGAUUUCGGAGGUCUACAGACAAUUCCUUUGGCCUCAUGCAUUGUUUGUCGCUCUGAGAUGCACUGUCAGCUGUGGGGGUUUAAUAUCGAUAUAAACCCCCAAAUCCUGAUUGUCCCAUAAACUGUAUUUAACUAACUUUAAUUCGAGCCCUAGAGACAUCUAAAUGAUGAUCAAUUCAAAUGUGAUACCAAAUUUGAAAUGUUAUCGCAUAGGUCUGAAUACGCAUCCAUCCAUUUUGUCUACCACUUAUCCUACACUGGGUUGCAGGGGAAACAUGGAGCCUGUCCCAGGGAACUCGGGGCACAAGGUGGGGGACACCCUGGACGAGGUGCCAACCGAUCACACAGCAAAACACACACAACUCACACAAUUUGGAAAAAUGCAAUCAGCCUACAAUGCAUUUCUUUGGACUGGGGGAGUAAAGCGGAGUUCCUGGAGAAAACCCCCGAAGCACGGGGAAAACACGCAAGCUCCUCGCACACAGGACGGAGCUGGGAUUUGAACUCCCAACCCCGGAGGUACGAGGCAAACGUGCUAGCCAUUUUAGAUUAUUACUCUGCUGUGACAAACCACUGAAAAAGUGAAGGGGUCUGAAUACUUUCUGAAUGCGUUGUACAUCUUGACUAAGGUAUGUGAAUUGUUUCCUGAGACAGACAUCAUUAAUGCCCAGGUGCUUCCCAAUGACCUAAAGGCAGCUGUUACUAAAUGACAUCUCAUUUAGCAAAGACAAAGAGCUCUGCUGAGGAAGAGAACUGCUGUCUUGUUAAUAGACAUGCAUUGACUUGAGUCUCCUCUCGGAUUAGAGAUCUAAGCAGACUUGUUUUCUUCUCUCCAGUUUUAAAUCGCAUUUAUGUCAAUCAGACACAAUACAAUUAAAUUCCUGUAGCUGGUUAGGGCAUGAUUUUUUCCUUCUUCUCACAUCGACCCUGUCUCGCACGCACAUCUGACCUCUCUCCCUCCCUCUGUCUGCGUAUAUGUACGUCUCCCUUUUGUGUCUGUGUCUCCCUAUGUUUCUAUCUUUCGUCCUCUCCUCUUCCCACCGGAUGUGUGUUUAGGUAUGAGGUCGAAGGGGAAAAACCCUUUGAAUACAUAUUGUUAUCUGUGAAGCAGAUGUGUGUGGCUGAUGUUGUUGGACACUGACAAGUGGGAUAUUAAAAUGAGUAAAUGUGAUGAAAAGAGAGCCAUGUAACACUCCAUAAUGUAAAAUCCAUAGUAUCAGAGAAGGUACUGUACUGUACAGAGAAGGCCUUUUGUUUUCUCAUGUAAAGCCAGAAGGUCUGCCUUAUUAUUAUUAUUAUUAUUAUUAUUAUUAUUACACUGCAGGCAGCAUAGUGGUGCAGUGCUUAGCAUCGGAGAACCAAUGAACCAGGCUUCCUAUUUCGAUUGCGAGCUCGGUUUACUGUUUGUGUGGAAUUUAGCAUGUUCUCCACAUGUUCAUGUGGACUUCCUCGAGUUCUCUGGUUUCCUCCACUGUCCAAAAACAUGCAUGUCGUGGAUCGGCUAGGCUAAAUUCCCCCUAGGUGUGAAUAAAUGUGGGACCGUGGACUGCCAUGGGAGCUGCAUGGACGGUCGUCUCAUCUGCAGUGAAUUCCUCCCGUCUCACACCCCGUGUUCCUGCGAUUGGAUCUGAACUCACCACGACCCUGACCAGGAUCACGAGGUUACUUUUGGCCAAAUUUGGCCUUUUGGUCGCAUUUGGCCAAAAAGGAGUUGACACCUCAACUUUAAGAAACCAUAAUGACAUGAAAAUAUUUAUAUUUGACUUUUUUAAAAUCUCUGAUGAAGUGGGGGAAGCGAAAUGGACAUAAGCCUAAUGAAUUCUGUUUGUAAUCACAUAGCGUCUAUCAAAAUGCUCUGACUUUACUUACUUGUGGUUAAAAUGCAUGCAACAGAGACAGAUAUAUCAGCUUGGGAAGCC